rnacentral:rRNA from 1 species
AUUGAACGCUGGCGGCAGGCCUAACACAUGCAAGUCGAGCGGGGUUUUCGGACCUAGCGGCGGACGGGUGAGUAAUGCGUAGGAAGCUACCCGAUAGAGGGGGAUACCAGUUGGAAACGACUGUUAAUACCGCAUAAUGUCUACGGACCAAAGUGUGGGACCUUCGGGCCACAUGCUAUCGGAUGCGCCUACGUGGGAUUAGCUAGUUGGUGAGGUAAUGGCUCACCAAGGCGACGAUCUCUAGCUGGUUUGAGAGGAUGAUCAGCCACACUGGAACUGAGACACGGUCCAGACUCCUACGGGAGGCAGCAGUGGGGAAUAUUGGACAAUGGGCGCAAGCCUGAUCCAGCCAUGCCGCGUGUGUGAAGAAGGCCUCGGUGUAAGACACUUAAGUUAGGUAGGAAGGGCGAGUACUAAUACGUGAUGUUUGUACGUUACCGUACCGUAGAA